rnacentral:lncRNA from 1 species
UUUGUUCAGAGCUUGGUUUCAAGGUCAACAUUUUUCUUAGGUGAUAAGGGUCUGCCUUAGAGAGAUCAUUGGUGAGUGUGAUGGGAUCCUCGCCGGUGAUGGAGAAAGAGUGAGAGAUGUUGGUGCCUGUAGGGAGACAGUGUGCUACCCAAAGAUGAAGGGAGAGGAAGGGAGAAAAGCUUAGCGUGAAGGUGAAGCAAUGGAUUGACAUGUUUCAAAAUAAUGAGAAAUGAUGUGACACAGUUAGCCACCUGUAAGGGCCUAAAAAUUUUUAAAAUCAUUGGGCCUUAUGUGAGGCAGUUAGGCCCAUAAGACUAGAAAUAACUUGACCUUAGAGAGAAAGGUGGUGCCCCUACAUUCUCGAAGUCGAGGGCUUCCAAUCCAUCCGAUUAGUUUCACGUCUCUCCACUAAUAAGGUAAAUUUACCAUUCUCC